UACGGGAGGCAGCAGUGGGGAAUAUUGCACAAUGAGCGCAAGCCUGAUGCAGCCAUGCCGCGUGUAUGAAGAAGGCCUUCGGGUUGUAAAGUACUUUCAGUCGUGAGGAAGGUGUUAAGGUUAAUAACCUUAGCAAUUGACGUUAGCGACAGAAGAAGCACCGGCUAACUCCGUGCCAGCAGCCGCGGUAAUACGGAGGGUGCGAGCGUUAAUCGGAAUUACUGGGCGUAAAGGGCACGCAGGCGGUUAAUUAAGUUGGAUGUGAAAUCCCCGGGCUUAACCUGGGAAUGGCAUUCAAGACUGGUUAGCUAGAGUCUUGUAGAGGGGGUUAGAAUUCCAUGUGUAGCGGUGAAAUGCGUAGAGAUGUGGAGGAAUACCGGUGGCGAAGGCGGCCCCUGGGACAAAGGACUGACGCUCAUGUGCGAAAGCGUGGGGAGCAAACAGGAUUAGAUACC
rnacentral:rRNA from 1 species